GAUGAACGCUGGCGGCGUGCCUAAUACAUGCAAGUCGAGCGAACAGACGAGGAUCUUGCUCCGCUGACGAGAGCGGCGGACGUGAGAGUAACACGUGUAUAACCUACCUAUAAGACUGGUAUAACUUCGGGAAACCGGAGCUAAUACCGUAUAAUAUAUUGAACCACGGUGGUCGAUGGUGAGAUACGGUUUUUCUGGCACUUAUAGAUGGAUCCGCGCCGCAUUAGCUAGUUGGUAAGUUAACGGCUUACCAAGGCGACGAUGCGUAGACGAACUGAGAGGGUGAUAGCCCACCGUGGAACGGAGACGCGGUCAAGACUCCUACGGGAGGCAGCAGUAGGCAAUCUGCCGCAACGGGCGAAAGCCUGACGGAGCAAGGCGGAGUGAGUGAUGACGGCCUCCGGAUCGUAAAGAUCGCUUAUUAGGGAAGAACAAAUUUGUAAGUAAACAUGCACGUAUUGACGGUACCUAAUAAGAAAGCAACGGCUAACUACGUG
rnacentral:rRNA from 1 species